UUUAAUAAACCGGUUAAGUAGAGUUAGUAGAUAAGUAACGGUCACUCUUAGAGAGUAGUAGUAGUAGUAAGAAGGGUGGUCGUUACAAAGAGCCCUUAGUAGGAGGGUACUAAAUUAUCUUACCCCUCCGAGGUCACGUUUUAAGUGAUCUAAAUAAGGUGAUGGAGCUUAGGCCCUAAAACAAGCGUUUCUUGGCAGGAUACAAUGUUUAGAAGGCUUGAGGAUAAUGGAGUAAUUUCAGAACUUGAUUGACCCAUUAACUUGGCACAUCUCACUUGAUAAAGGGAAAGAAAAGAUAUAGUGAAGGAAGGCGACAAGAAGAU